rnacentral:rRNA from 1 species
CUCCUCUGACGUUAGCGGCGGACGGGUGAGUAACACGUGGAUAACCUACCUAUAAGACUGGGAUAACUUCGGGAAACCGGAGCUAAUACCGGAUAAUAUAUUGAACCGCAUGGUUCAAUAGUGAAAGACGGUUUUGCUGUCACUUAUAGAUGGAUCCGCGCCGCAUUAGCUAGUUGGUAAGGUAACGGCUUACCAAGGCAACGAUGCGUAGCCGACCUGAGAGGGUGAUCGGCCACACUGGAACUGAGACACGGUCCAGACUCCUACGGGAGGCAGCAGUAGGGAAUCUUCCGCAAUGGGCGAAAGCCUGACGGAGCAACGCCGCGUGAGUGAUGAAGGUCUUCGGAUCGUAAAACUCUGUUAUUAGGGAAGAACAAAUGUGUAAGUAACUAUGCACGUCUUGACGGUACCUAAUCAGAAAGCCACGGCUAACUACGUGCCAGCAGCCGCGGUAAUACGUAGGUGGCAAGCGUUAUCCGGAAUUAUUGGGCGUAAAGCGCGCGUAGGCGGUUUUUUAAGUCUGAUGUGAAAGCCCACGGCUCAACCGUGGAGGGUCAUUGGAAACUGGAAAACUUGAGUGCAGAAGAGG